ACCUACGGGGGGCAGCAGUAGGGAAUUUUCGUCAAUGGGCGCAAGCCUGAACGAGCAAUGCCGCGUGAACGAGGAAGGUCUUCGGGUCGUAAAGUUCUGUUGAAGGGGAAAAAGAGCGGAGAGAGGAAAUGGUCUCCGAUUGAUAUUACCCUUCGAGGAAGUCACGGCUAACUACGUGCCAGCAGCCGCGGUAAUACGUAGGUGGCGAGCGUUAUCCGGAAUGAUUGGGCGUAAAGGGUGCGUAGGCGGCCUGCUAAGUCUGGAGUGAAAGGUACCGGCUCAACCGGUACAGGCUCUGGAAACUG
rnacentral:rRNA from 1 species